UUCACCACCUAUUCUCUUCCUAGCGGUCUAGAUUCUAGACCGACUCUACAAAAGAUUUUUUCUCGUCCGCCACCAACUGAAAACAUAGCGAAAGAACUGAUAAUCUCAAGCUCCUCUCCGAAGUGUGCAGCCUCCACUCUCUCCCUCUCUCUCUCUCUCUCUCUGUGUCUGUUAAAAGAUUAUCCCUUCACCAACAUGUUUCUUCUGCCACCACCCCUUCCAAAUCGUUUCCCUUCAGUUCCGCUAACUUUCACAACACAGUUCCGCCACCACCGCCACCGCCAUAUAUUCCAACCUCCACUUUCCGUUACCGCCAUCGUUACCGAAGCGUCCUCUUUCUCUGUUUCCUCGUCCAGACAACUUGAUGACGGCGACGGCGACGACGAAAACGACAUCAACAAUCGCCGCUACGACUUCACUCCCCUCCUCGACUUCCUUUCUAACUCUCCCGAUACCACCGGCAGUUCGGGUCCGGACCCUCCUAUUUCACUUGACCCGACCGAGUUCCAUCUCGCUGAGUCGUACCGGGCCGUGCCGGCACCCGUCUGGCACUCAUUCCUAAAAUCCCUCUGUUCCUCCUCCUCCUCCUCCAUUGGACUGGCAUACGCCGUCGUUUCAUGGCUCCAGAAACACAACCUCUGCUUCUCCUACGAAUUGCUCUACUCAAUUCUCAUCCACGCGCUUGGGCGCUCCGAGAAGCUCUACGAGGCGUUCUUGCUUUCCCAGAGACAAUCCCUAACCCCGUUAACCUACAACGCCCUAAUAGGCGCUUGUGCUCGCAACGACGACCUCGAAAAGGCGCUCAAUCUCAUGUCUCGCAUGCGCCAAGACGGUUUCCCACCCGACUUCGUCAAUUACAGCUUAAUUAUUCAGUCCCUUACGCGCACUAACAAAGCCGGCUCUCCGAUUUUGCAGAAGCUUUAUUCCGAGAUCGAAUGCGAUAGGAUCGAGCUCGAUUGCCAGCUUCUGAAUGACAUUAUCGUCGGUUUUGCGAACGCCGGUGACUCUGCGCGUGCCAUGCAUUUCCUAGCCAAGGCUCAGGCCAGCGGGUUGAGCGCUAAAACUGCAACUCUCGUUGCGCUUAUAUCUGCCUUGGGGAACUCGGGUCUCACCGUGGAGGCCGAGGCCAUUUUCGAAGAAAUAAGGGACUCCGGAUUGAAGCCAAGGACUAGGGCUUACAACGCGCUUCUGAAAGCGUAUGUGACAGCCGGUUCCUUGAAAGACGCCGAGUCGAUCGUAUCGGAGAUGGAGAAGACAGGAGUUUUGCCGGAUGAGCAUACUUACAGUCUUCUUAUCGAUGCAUAUGCAAAUGCAGGCCGGUGGGAAAGCGCGAGGAUCGUCUUGAAAGAAAUGGAGGCUUGCAAUGUACAGCCUAAUUCGUACGUGUUUAGUAGGAUUUUAGCGAGUUAUAGGGACAGAGGAGAAUGGCAGAGAUCCUUUCAGGUUUUGAAGGAAAUGAAGAGUAGUGGAGUAACGCCGGAUAGGCAUUUUUACAAUGUGAUGAUUGAUACUUUUGGCAAGCACAAUUGUCUUGAUCAUGCUGUGGCCACCUUCGAUCGGAUGCUCUCUGAGGGAAUUGAGCCCGACACGGUUACAUGGAACACGCUCAUUGAUUGUCAUUGUAAGGCGGGGCGGCAUGGUAGGGCGGAGGAGUUGUUUGAAGAAAUGCAGGAGAAAGGAUACUCGCCGUGUGCUACGACGUAUAAUAUCAUGAUUAAUUGUCUUGGGGACCAGGAGAGGUGGGAGGAAGUGAAGCGCUUGUUGGGGAAGAUGCAGAGUCAAGGGUUGCUGCCAAAUGUGGUGACUUACACCACUCUGGUUGAUAUUUAUGGACAGUCGGGGAGGUUCGAGGAUGCGAUAGAGUGCUUAGAGGGCAUGAAGUCUGCGGGAUUAAGACCAUCCUCGACAAUGUACAAUGCCUUGAUUAAUGCCUAUGCGCAAAGGGGUUUGUCUGAGGAAGCAAUAAAAGCAUUUAGGGUCAUGAGAGCAGAUGGCCUGAAGCCUAGUCUUUUAGCUCUCAAUUCAUUAAUAAAUGCAUUUGGUGAGGAUAGAAGGGAUGUUGAAGCCUUUGCUGUGUUGCAGUACAUGAAAGAAAAUGACUUGAAACCAGAUGUGGUCACCUAUACUACGCUUAUGAAAGCUCUGAUUCGUGUUGAUAAAUAUCAUAAGGUUCCUUCUGUGUACGAGGAAAUGAUUUUGUCUGGGUGCACCCCAGAUAGGAAAGCCAGAGCAAUGUUACGGUCCGCUCUUAGAUAUAUGAAGCAGACAUUGAAGUCAAUAAAAUCAUAGUAUAUGGGGCCACACAGCCAAAGAAAUGUACAGGGCUAUCGUGUUUGUUCCAUUAGUUAUCUAUUUGAGGCGAUAUUGAUUCAUGCACGAUCGUUGCCAGAAAGGGAUUCAGGUAUGGGGCAAAUGAGUAGGAAUGCAAAUGCAGACCAAAGCCUGGCAUCAAAACACCCAAAUACGUGAAGAUGCAUACCAUUCCUCAGAAGCAUAAGAUAAUACAUCUUUACCUGUGUGCCGAAUAUAGUGUUUAACCAUCUAUACUUGUGGCAGAUGAUAGAGAGAGGAAUGAUAGAAAAGCCUUAAAGACUAGUUUCCUAUUUUGUUUUUGUUGUGUGAAGGCAUGAACAAAAAUAAUGUCAUAAAUCUUAUUAAUUCAAUUCAAUGGUCAUAAAUUUUUUUCCUCCA